UACAGAGGGGGCAAGCGUUAUUCGGAAUUAUUGGGCGUAAAGGGCGCGUAGGCGGCCUGGCAAGUGGAAGGUGAAAUCCCUCGGCUUAACCGAGGAACUGCCCUCCAAACUGCUUGGCUUGAGUCCGGGAGAGGUGAGUGGAAUUCCCAGUGUAGCGGUAAAAUUCGUAGAUAUUCGGAAGAACACCAGUGGCGAAGGCGACUUACUGGACACAUAUUGACGCUGAGGUGCGAAAGCGUGGGGAGCAAACGGG
rnacentral:rRNA from 1 species